UAACCAGAACCAACAUUGGAGAGGUGGCCUCUGAUCUCCAUGUUUAAAUUUCAGUCUUGGAACAGACUGAAGAGGCUGGAUUUAAAGUCUGGAUUUUGUUUCACUUGCAGUAGAAUGGAAGAGCUGCCAAGCUCAGGCACCACCAGUGCUUUGUGGAAGCCGACAUAUGAAUUUGUUCUACAAAUGUGCCAGGGACACCCUGAUCCAACAGUCAGAUCACUUCCAGAAGACACAGAGUUACAUCUCUGAGCUGACUUCCAGUUCUUAUUACCACCCAUUAAGAGAAAAAUUCUGCAUAAAGCAAACCAGGAAAGAAGAGAAAGAAUGUCUGUGGGAAGGAUGUAAAGGACAACAGGAGGAAAGAGAUAAGUGACUACAUUAACUUCAUCUGAGAAUAAAACCUUUUCCAAAGUCCUUCAAGGCCUUAUCCAAGACAUAGACAAGGAAUGGUUGGCAGCUGUCCCACUGCUGGGAGCUGGAGGAGCUCAGGGGA